GCGGCGAACGGGUGAGUAACGCGUGGAUAACCUACCUCAAGGUCUGGGAUAACAGCUCGAAAGGGCUGCUAAUACCGGAUGUGGUGCAUAUGCUGCAUGGUAGAUGCACUAAAGGGGAAACCCGCCAUGAGAUGGGUCCGCGUCCCAUCAGCUAGUUGGUGGGGUAAAGGCCUACCAAGGCGACGACGGGUAGCCGGCCUGAGAGGGUGACCGGCCACACUGGGACUGAGACACGGCCCAGACUCCUACGGGGGGCAGCAGUGGGGAAUAUUGCACAAUGGGCGAAAGCCUGAUGCAGCGACGCCGCGUGGGCGAAGAAGGCCUUCGGGUUGUAAAGCCCUGUCUGGAGGGACGAAGUAAUGACGGUACCUCCGGAGGAAGCCACGGCUAACUACGUGCCAGCAGCCGCGGUAAUACGUAGGUGGCGAGCGUUGUCCGGAAUUACUGGGCGUAAAGGGCGUGCAGGCGGCCACUUAAGUCGGGCGUGAAAACCGCUG
rnacentral:rRNA from 1 species